AGAGUUUGAUCCUGGCUCAGAUUGAACGCUGGCGGCAUGCCUUACACAUGCAAGUCGAACGGCAGCACGGAGCUUGCUCUGGUGGCGAGUGGCGAACGGGUGAGUAAUAUAUCGGAACGUACCCUGGAGUGGGGGAUAACGUAGCGAAAGUUACGCUAAUACCGCAUACGAUCUACGGAUGAAAGUGGGGGAUCGCAAGACCUCAUGCUCGUGGAGCGGCCGAUAUCUGAUUAGCUAGUUGGUAGGGUAAAAGCCUACCAAGGCAUCGAUCAGUAGCUGGUCUGAGAGGACGACCAGCCACACUGGAACUGAGACACGGUCCAGACUCCUACGGGAGGCAGCAGUGGGGAAUUUUGGACAAUGGGCGAAAGCCUGAUCCAGCAAUGCCGCGUGAGUGAAGAAGGCCUUCGGGUUGUAAAGCUCUUUUGUCAGGGAAGAAACGGUGAGGGCUAAUAUCUCUUGCUAAUGACGGUACCUGAAGAAUAAGCACCGGCUAACUACGUGCCAGCAGCCGCGGUAAU
rnacentral:rRNA from 1 species